rnacentral:rRNA from 1 species
AUUGCACGCUGGCGGCAGGCCUAACACAUGCAAGUCGAACGAGUGGCGGACGGGUGAGUAAUGUCUGGGAAACUGCCUGAUGGAGGGGGAUAACUACUGGAAACGGUAGCUAUUACCGCAUACCAUCGGAUGUGCCCGGAUGGGAUUAGCUAGGAGGUGGGGUAACGGCUCACCUAGGCGACGAUCCCUAGCUGGGCUGAGAGGAUGACCAGCCAUACUGGACAUGAGACACGGUCCAGACUCCUACGAGAGGCAGCGGGGGGGAAGAUUGCACAAUGGGCGCAAGCCUGAUGCAGCCAUGCCGCGUGUAUGAAGAAGGCCUUCGGUUUGUAAAGUACUGUCAUCGGGGAGGCGUUACCCGCAGAAGAAGCACCGGCUAACUCCGUGCCAGCAGCCGCGGUAUAC